UACAGAGGUCUCAAGCGUUUGUUCGGAUUCAUUGGGCGUAAAGGGUGCGUAGGCGGCGCGGUAAGUCGGGUGUGAAAUCUCGGAGCUUAACUCCGAAACUGCAUUCGAUACUGCCGUGCUUGAGGACUGGAGAGGAGACUGGAAUUUACGGUGUAGCGGUGAAAUGCGUAGAUAUCGUAAGGAAGACCAGUGGCGAAGGCGGGUCUCGUGGACUAGUUC
rnacentral:rRNA from 1 species